ACCAGAAAAGGGAAAUACUUAAGUUCCUGAUGCAGCUUUUGUAGCACAGGUACACAUCUAUCCAGAAAAUGCCCCCCAAACCCUCUUUGAUAGUUCAGUUCAAAACAGCAAAGAGCUCGUAUCACACUUUGUGAGCAGCAGUCCAGCCAGAUUCUGCUAAUUGUAUGGUGCUAUGAAAACAUCUAUUUCCAGUCUCUGAAGUGUUGCUUUUGCUCCAAUCCCUCUCUCUGCCCACGGCAAUAAUCACACUACCAGAUCAGUAAGCAUCCUUAGUUAUCAGAAACUAGUAGGCAAAGGGAAGAACAAGAUUUUUCCCUGUAACAGCAGCCUAGAAGGGUCCCGUAGUGUCAGAGAACCAGAGCGCAAAUAACAACCAACACAGGGAACUGCAAUGCAACAGGUGCUUGUAGAUUUCCUGCAUUCACACAAAUCUGAUUACUCAAAAGCAGGGGAGACAGUGUUCCCCCCAUUAAGUUCUGAACCAAACUCAAUUGAAUCAGCUUUUGCACUGACUAGAGAGGAAGUGGAUCAGAGCAGCAGGCAGAACUGGAAGUUGCUUAGUGUCUCAGAAGUCACUAGCCCCUUGGCAAUCCCACAAUUUAUUACUCCCCAGACUACUGAUACAGUGAAAAAAACCUAAAACUCUGUUGCAGACAGAAACUGCAUAGAUAACACAAACAUUAACACCGGAGAAAGAAGGAUGGGUGGGAGCUUAGCACUUCGAGAAGGGACAGUUAGUACUGAUGUAGAUGAGCUCAACAAGAAUAUAAAUAAGGAGCAGUGCUAACUGAUAAAAGAAAACAAACUAGGGUAAAAUAAUUGUGGUAGUAAUAGAUCAGCGACUUCCUACUCAAAUGGCCCCCACCCCAAAGAAGGUGGAUCCCAGGGAUCAUGCUGAUAUAGAUUAAAACCAGCCCAGUGGGCAUGUAUUAGCUUGACACACUUAGAGUGGACAAUAAGGAAGGACGAAUCGUUAGCUAGCAGAUGUUUUAAGAUAACAGAAACUAAAUAACAAAGACUGCUAAUGUAUGCAAAGAUAAACAAGAACUUCAGGUAACUGCCCAAGAAGAUGAAAAGUACAUCUUGAAGAGGCGCCAGAGGGAGGAGAUUCUGAAUGUUUGGAAACCGUAUGUAUAUGCAUGAAUUUGUAUAAUAAAUAUCGGACUGCUUGUUGAAACGGUGUGCAAGUUAGGAGGAGCGAUCCCCCUUGCACCCGGUGCCGCAAUAAACCUAUCUGCUUUAUAACUCUCCUCGAGUUGUAGAGUUCGAUUCCGCAUGUCACUACACCAUUAGCUCUGUAUUUGCUUUCCCCCCAGUCCUGAACUUUGUCCUUGCUAUACACCUGCUCACUGCAAGGCCAGAAUGUGCAUACUGGAGGAGGAAGCGUCUGACACAACCCAGCCCAUAGCCUAGAGGGAUGCUCAGGUGAAGAAGGGCAGAACAAAGGGGUUUGAUGUUGGGGUUUUUUGACUCCUGAACCACUGAAUGAAGUGAAUAGUGAAUGCUGUACCACUUUUCUAAAGGAUGACGCACCUAUGUUUAGUUAAAGUCAGGAGAUGUCCAAGGACCCUUAUUGCAACAUGACAGAUGCACAGACUGCUAAGUCCUUGGGUUGGUUAUCUUUAAAAGGGACAUUUUGUCUUAGAUUCCUGUUGUACAUGCAAUGUGGCGAAGAUGGAGACUUUAAACAUGAUCACUAAGGAACAGAGUCUGCAUAGAGACAACUCCUCAAGGACAUUGUCCAGGCACAAGAUAUGUUAAUGUUGUUAACUUGAAGAUAUACUAGGUCCUUGAAUGGAAUAUGCUAAUUGUCCAGGUGUGAGAUAUGUUAAUGAGUUCCCAGAAAGUUAAUGAAUAGUCACAAGUGACUUGUAUAAAGAGGGGGCUGAAAGGUUCCCUUGGUGUGCAUGAUUUUGGUGGAGCGAUCCCCCAUGCACCCAGUGCUGCGGAAUAAAGAUAACCUCCGCUCA